GAAUAAUUUGUUUAGCCAUGUCAUAUCCUUUGUGGAAUAAGAUCCAGGUAAGAGCUGAUGGGAGCCUACACUGAGGCCUGGGAGGACAAGAAGACCGAUCAGAAGAGUCAUGGAAGAGAUAGAAUCAACUGGAUUUUGCUGACGAUAUCCGUAUGGGUGUGAUGGAGGUGGCCGAAGUGGCAGAGAAGACGGGAAGCAUUUCUUUCUGAAGAAACGACCUGUCCAUCCUGUUGUCUUUUCUUCUGGCAUCUCUUCGCUUCAACCUCCUGUCUCCCAUGUGACUAACUGGUCGUUACACUUGGGUUUAGGAUUAAAAGAAGGAAGGGUCUGAUUGAGUCAUUAUCACUGGAGUACCCUGCCCCAGGG